rnacentral:rRNA from 1 species
GACGAACGCUGGCGGCGUGCUUAACACAUGCAAGUCGAGCGGUAAGGCCCUUUCGGGGUACGACGAGCGGCGAACGGGUGAGUAACACGUGGGUGACCUGCCCUCCAGCUCUGGGAGUAAGCCUGGGAAACCGGGUACUAAUACCGGAUAUGACUCCAUGACGCAUGUUGUGGGGUGGAAAGCCUUGUGCGGCUGAGGAUGGGCCCGCGGCCUAUCAGCUUGUUGGUGGGGUGAUGGCCUACCAAGGCGACGACGGGUAGCCGGCCUGAGAGGGCGACCGGCCACACUGGGACUGAGACACGGCCCAGACU